CCUACGGGAGGCAGCAGUGGGGAAUAUUGGACAAUGGGCGAAAGCCUGAUCCAGCAAUGCCGCGUGAGUGAUGAAGGCCUUAGGGUUGUAAAGCUCUUUUACCAGGGAUGAUAAUGACAGUACCUGGAGAAUAAGCUCCGGCUAACUCCGUGCCAGCAGCCGCGGUAAUACGGAGGGAGCUAGCGUUGUUCGGAAUUACUGGGCGUAAAGCGUACGUAGGCGGUUAUUCAAGUCAGAGGUGAAAGCCUGGAGCUCAACUCCAGAACUGCCUUUGAAACUAGAUAGCUAGAAUCUUGGAGAGGUGAGUGGAAUUCCGAGUGUAGAGGUGAAAUUCGUAGAUAUUCGGAAGAACACCAGUGGCGAAGGCGACUCACUGGACAAGUAUUGACGCUGAGGUACGAAAGCGUGGGGAGCAAACAGGAUUAGAUACCCUGGUAGUCCACGCCGUAAACGAUGAUAACUAGCUGUUCGGGCUCUACGAGCUUGAGUGGCGCAGCUAACGCAUUAAGUUAUCCGCCUGGGGAGUACGGUCGCAAGAUUAAAACUCAAAGGAAUUGACGGCUGAGACCGNGCGAGACGACGACGAGGGAGAG
rnacentral:rRNA from 1 species